rnacentral:rRNA from 1 species
CACUGGUCGAGUCGGCCUGCGCGGAAGAUGUAACGGGGCUAAACCAUGCACCGAAGCUGCGGCAGCGAACGUAUCACUUAAAGCGAUUCAGCGGGUUACGAUUGACGGAGCGAAGCGACGUCAAAGCGUAUACAAAGUCGAGUCGGUUUAAGGAUACGUUCGUUGGGUAGGGGAGCGUUCUGUAAGCCCGUGAAGGUGGCCUGUGAGGGUUGCUGGAGGUAUCAGAAGUGCGAAUGCUGACAUAAGUAACGAUAAAGCGGGUGAAAAGCCCGCUCGCCGGAAGACCAAGGGUU